CCAGACUCCUACGGGAGGCAGCAGUGGGGAAUAUUGCACAAUGGGGGAAACCCUGAUGCAGCGACGCCGCGUGAGCGAUGAAGUAUUUCGGUAUGUAAAGCUCUAUCAGCAGGGAAGAAAAUGACGGUACCUGACUAAGAAGCCCCGGCUAACUACGUGCCAGCAGCCGCGGUAAUACGUAGGGGGCAAGCGUUAUCCGGAUUUACUGGGUGUAAAGGGAGCGUAGACGGUCCUGCAAGCCAGAUGUGAAACCCCGGGGCUCAACCCCGGGCAUGCAUUGGAAACUGGCGGGCUGGAGUGUCGGAGAGGCAGGCGGAAUUCCUAGUGUAGCGGUUAAAUGCGUAGAUAUUAGGAGGAACACCAGUGGCGAAGGCGGCCUGCUGGACGAUGACUGACGUUGAGGCUCGAAAGCGUGGGGAGCAAACAGGAUUAGAUACCCGCGUUC
rnacentral:rRNA from 1 species